GAACGCUGGCGGCGUGGAUAAGACAUGCAAGUCGGACGGGGAAUAUUUUAGCUUGCUUUAAUAUUUCCAGUGGCGAACGGGUGAGUAACACGUGAGUUACCUGCCCCGAAGUGGGGGAUAGCCUCCCGAAAGGGAGAUUAAUACCGCAUGUGAUCGUAAGAUUAAAGGUGGCGUAAGCUGCCGCUUCGGGAUGGGCUCGCGGCCUAUCAGCUUGUUGGUGAGGUAAGGGCUCACCAAGGCGAUGACGGGUAGCUGGUCUGAGAGGAUGAUCAGUCACACUGGAACUGAGACACGGUCCAGACACCUACGGGUGGCAGCAGUCGAGAAUCAUUCACAAUGGGCGCAAGCCUGAUGGUGCGACGCCGCGUGGAGGACGAAGGCCCUAGGGUCGUAAACUCCUGUCAUCAGGGAGUAAGGCGUUUACCAGUAACUGGGUAGGCGAUUGAUAGUACCUGAAGAGGAAGGGACGG
rnacentral:rRNA from 1 species